rnacentral:rRNA from 1 species
ACCCGCUGAACUUAAGCAUAUCAAUAAGCGGAGGAAAAGAAACUAACAAGGAUUCCCUUAGUAACGGCGAGUGAACCGGGAAAAGCUCAAAUUUGUAAUCUGGCUGUCUUCGAUAGUCCGAGUUGUAAUCUAUAGACGUGUUUUCCGUGCUGGACCGUAUCUAAGUCCCUUGGAACAGGGUAUCAAAGAGGGUGACAAUCCCGUGCUUGAUACGACCACCAGUGCUCUGUGAUACACGCUCUACGAGUCGAGUUGUUUGGGAAUGCAGCUCAAAAUGGGUGGUAAAUUCCAUCUAAAGCUAAAUAUUGGCGAGAGACCGAUAGCGAACAAGUACCGUGAGGGAAAGAUGAAAAGCACUUUGGAAAGAGAGUUAAACAGUACGUGAAAUUGUUGAAAGGGAAACGAUUGAAGUCAGUCGUGUUCUUUGGAUUCAGCUAGUUCUUCUAGUCUACUUCCUUUGAACGGGUCAACAUCAGUUUUGUCCGGUGGAUAAAGAUAGUAGGAAUGUAGCUCCCUCGGGAGUGUUAUAGACUAUUAUUGCAUGCACUGGGUGAGACUGAGG